CGUUAACUUCAAAACUAGGUGUGCUCUCAAAUGAACUUUCCGGAUGAUUUGCCUGAACAGUGUAUUCUCUGUUCUGUCUUGUGUGGAGGAUUCUGCAGUUACGCUCCUAUCAAAUGUGGUAAACUUGCUACAACCAAAGUGAUUCUAUAAAAUCCUGCCCCUUUGCUUCCCCUUUCUAAUACCUUACUGCCAUUGUAGCUUACCAUUUUAGCCCAUGAUGUCUUGGUAUCUUCUAGAAUUUUUUGCAAUAUACUUCUUGAAGUCUCACACUCAAAGAAGAGGCGUAAUAUUUAAUUGCCAAACUGCAUAAGGAAUACAUAGGGGUUAGUUGUAAUACCCCAUUUUGCAAUUCUAUCCCCAGUAGGCAGUAGCAAGUAUGUUGAACCAUUUGCUAAGCGACAUCAUCAGGUUUGUUCUCUUGUUUAUGAUUCUUCUCUCAAUUUGAAUUUGCGUCAUAAAUGAUGAUAGAAAUAGUAGUAUCUCGAAAUUGCCUUAAGAGAAAUUAAGUUGUUAGAAAAGAAAGUUACUCCUCGAAGGGUAGAAUAACCAUUGGAAUGUAUUCUCUCCAGAUCAAAAAAAGUGUCAAUUUAGCCAUUUGCACACCCCUUAAGAAAAUACUAAUUCCUAGACAAAAAUAGGUAAUUUGACUAAACUGCUCCUAAUUAAACAUGUAUUGGAAUUUGAUCACAUAACACUUAAUAGGGGCAAAUUUGAAAAAAUGAGAUUAAUUCUUUCUUGAUUUAAUAUGUGGACACUUUUUUUGAUCCAAGAAAAAAAGGCUAAGUGAACACUCUUUUUAUCCGGAGAGAGUAGUAAGUCGGAGUAGUACUUACUACUCCCUCCAUUUCAAUUUAUGUGAUAUAGUUUGACUAGGCACGGAGUUUAAGAAAGAAAGGAAGACUAGAUACUUGUGUGACUGUAAAUCAUUUGAUUAAGGGUAAAAGGGGAAGUUUUAAGUUAAAUGAUUUUUAAAUAUAGAAAUGUAUCAUUAUUUUUUAGACAGACUAAUAUAAAAAGGAAAAUAUCACAUAAAUUGUGACAGAGGGAGUAAUACAUUUUAUGUGGCACUUUUUUUUGUUUUUGGUCUCUUUGAAAAAGAGCAGUUUUGGUCUCACAUUUAUUGGUUACUUCUCAUAUAUGGCUCAACACAUUUAACCUUGAAUUAAUUAAAAUGUGUUUUUGGUCCCUUUAUGUUGGAAAUAUGUUAUACUACAACUAUUUUUAACAGUGUAUUACUCUCAAUAAUGAAGUAAAAGUACAAAAGCUUGACAUAACAUAUGGUAAUUAAAUACCCAAACGGUUAAUAAAUCUAUUUUUUCUUUCAAUAUUCACAAGCAAAGACAUCAAAAGCGCACAUUUCAAGUAAUUGAAGGUUACUGUGUUUAGUCACAAUGACUAAAAUCAAAAUUUACUAAUAGCUGAGGGAUCAAAAAUGCUAUAACGCCCGACCUACAUUGGGAGAUAAUUUAUUUUCUCAUUUAACCCUGAGUAACAUUCUUUUAUAUGUAAAAUGUGAUGGUAACUUUAAGACCGACCUAACUUCUAGUAUUUGAAUCUUACUUUACUUUGACGCUUUGGCCUUCCCCUUAUCUUAAUUAAUCGGAAGAGUCAUCCAGCACUCAAGAGGAAGAAUUCAACUCUUGCUAAAUCUCAAAGGCAUGGACAUCUUUGAUUGGACGGAGACAGAUAUAUAGAAAGUGUGCAGUGAGGGUGCUUAUAAUCACUAAAUAGCCUAGCUCGACCCAAGCAAUGCCCAAAAGUCCCAUGCCUUUCUUGGUCGGAUCAACCCCAAAAGUUAAUAUUUCCUUAUCAAAUUUCGUGUUAAGUCAAACAUUGGCACAUGAAAUGAAAACAGGGAGUAGUUAUGAAUCCAUGUAAUUCUAUAACCAAGGAAACACAGGUCUAAAUAAUGUCCUAUUUUGGAGGCUUUCUUUAUUUAUUACUACGAGAAAGUUGAGCCCCUUUAUAAUCUUAAGUUCUAAUUUAGCGUUUCUAUGGAUUGAAUUGAUACUUUCAACCUGGUUAAUCUGCACUUUCCUCUGGUAGGAUAUAUCGAUAAAUGUCAGUUGCUGUAUUGGGCAGUCAGGCAAAAAAUUGUUGUUCUGCUUGUACACAUUAGCCAUAUCUAUCAUUUAUGUAACAGCUACAUCUUUUAACCAUUGGCAUUAUUGAAUGUUGCUCGGACUCUUCAAAAAUAUUGUCAGGCGUAUGUCGGAUCCUCCAAAUACUAUGCAUAUUUCGAGGAUCCAACACGGGUGCGGCAGUAUUUUUGGAGGGUCCGAGCAAAGUAGGUUGAAAUUUCAGUAUCCUUGGAGUUGAAUCAUAUAUUUAGGUAAUUAUUAGGUUUGGUGCUACUUCGUAUGUGCUUAUCCAUUGGAGACAAAUAUGGACAUGCAAGCAUAUAUAUGGAUUUACAAGGAUUAGGUUUGGUUCUACUUCGUAUGUGCUUAUCCAAUUGAGACAAGUUUAUGGAUCUGAUCGCAUAUUUAUAUUUAUGAACUAGGCAGGGUUGGUAUUUUUGUCAAAAGUUUGGAGGCAUAUUACUAAAGUUCUGCGCUAAAAAAUGCUGUUCAGAUACCAGCUUUUUUCCUUACAAAAAAAAAAAAAAAAGACUUGUGAAAGAAAGGCAGAAACCAAAGGCGAUAGCUAGAUUGUAUAUACUUAACGAGGAAGGGCAUAAGCAUAUAUAAAGAUGUUAUUUCCUUCUGAUAGCUGGCUUUUCAGUGAGAACUAUGUUAAGAAGCAGACAAUGUUGUCUCCCAUAUGUUCUGUUGGAUUACGAACACCAGUGACAUAGCACUUCCUUAGCAGUGAGGAGUUAGGAAGACACUUCAAUGCUAGUUUUAGCUGUUUGAUGCUGAAGAUGCCUGGUCUCUGCAUAUUGAGAGAGUUUUCACUCAUCCACUUGUUGAUUUGUACAUAGCAAAAGCCUCCAAGAUGCAACUGAUUUUGAUUGAGCUGUGCUGUGGCAACUGCUUGCUGAAAUACUCUCUUCUUACCAUCAGCGUGGACUUAAAUACGCCACCUAUCAGGAAACAGUCCAACGUAGGGUCCCAUAUGGGUGUUCCUCCCUGUCCCCUUCAAUCUUUAUUACUGAAUUUAGGAGUGUAUCUGUCUGUGCGCAACAUUUUUACCUGUCUCGCGGCCUAUACAAACCUGAACCUGAGGUGCAUAUGAGAUUAUCAAGAGAACUUUCUUUAAGGUUGUGAAUAGUUGCUUCCAGCUGGUAUGUCGCAAAUCAUAGUCUGCUAGCGCUGGCUUGUUAUUGAAUUUUCAUUAAGUAGGAAAAAUUGCGGGGUCAUUUCUUUUCUAUGCGAUUUUGAAGGAUAGGGGCAGUCAUUAAAAGGCUCUUAGGUAGUUUUGGUCCUUUCGGAUGGUGGUUGUUCAUUAAAGAGUACUAUAUCAGGGUGAGAUCGAUAUGGUUUUCCCAUGUAGUUAAGAAUAAUGGUUUUAAUAAAUUCUUGAGGUAUUAUGGGUACAGAGCUAUUUGGUUCAAGUCCUGCUUGAAUAAAAUCUUAGAGAUGCUGCUUAUGUACAAUGCGUCUUUGGAAUGUGCUAUUAUCUCAAAACUGUGACCACAAAAGGAGGUUAACUAGUUUGGGAAGCAAGAAAAAAGUGUUCCAAGGACCAUGCUCCUCUAUAGAUAUGUCCUACCCAUGGAGAGAGUCUUAAAACAGUUCUAUGUAAGAUUAUUUCGAAGAACAUUGUUGUAAUUUAGAAUCAGUAGAUUUCCAAAACCACUGCAUCCGCGUUCUUUUGAAGUAGUGGGUUCGGUCGAAUCCACUAUGUCUACUCAAGAUCUGCUCCUAUUGUUGUAUUAUCUUAUUUCCUAUUUUGAUACUGUCUGGCAGUUGGAAUCCAUUUUGACAUAUAGACCUCUGGUGAGAAGUAGGCGAAAUGGGUAAAUAUGGUUUGUGGUUGAUUUUUUUCACUUAAUAUUUACUUAGUGAAGUUGGACCAAAAUCUGCAAUAUAGCCCUCUUUAUUUAAUUCUUGUAUUAUAAUCCCACAGUAUAAUCCCGGUAUAAUUUGUUUGCAAACCAAACAACCCCUAAGAGUAUGCCUUUUCUUAUCUUGCUGCCUGGUUACUUGUGAAAUUCCCUUAUUUUGCAUAGGUUCUUUUCAUCUUUGUCAUGAUUCUAGUAUAUAUUCCUAGAAGGCUGACAUGCAAUUAUGAGCUUUGUUGUUACUGAAACUUCAUGGUGAGCUAAAUUCAUUUUCCAUAUGAUGUGAUGGACGCUUUAACAAUUCCUUUUUUGAUGUCCGAAACUAUCUGCUUCAUGUUGCAUAGUAGCUAUGCCUACUAUUCUGGCAUCUGUUGGCGAUCCAGAAAUAACCAAGUUUGCAGACGUCAGUACUUUCACGUAAUGCGUACUAAAUUAAUGCUUUAAAAAGCUUGUGUCAUCUACCUAUUUUUCGUUAUAACAACAUGGGAGAAGAUAAGAUCCCUAAACGGGCUGGAGUUGGCAAGUUCAGAUCUAGAAAAGAAUGACUGCAACUGCUGUGCAGUACAUGCUUCUAAGAAUGAGAAGGGAAGAUCAUGUUUAUACACCAUUACGGCCAAGUAAAGAAAGAACGUGUUCUAUUACCUGUGGCUAGUCAAUUAGCUACUGUUGUGCACUUUUGCUUAUAGCAGCUUGCCGCUCCCCCGGUUUCAUUGCCAAGGCUUAUCACAUCUAUGACUAUGAUACAGGUCGAAUAGUCCAAGAUAUAAGAGAUUUGACUAUCACUUCACUAUUCAUAUUAUUAACUCAACAGGUUUCAUAGUAUCGUUAGCCAUUGUUAUCUCCAUUAUACGCUGUUUUCCACUGAAACCAUGGCCUCAAAUCUCAGUAUCUAUAUUGUUUGGCUCCUACAUGUGCUUGAUCAUGAAAAUAUUUCCACUGGAGUCCUGGCCUUGUACUCGUCCUUUCCGUCCCAUUACUACUAUUAGCAGCGGUGCAACUUUGCUAAGUAGACUUUUACCGUUCUGGCACUUGUUUAACGACUCAGAAUAAAGAAAGGGGAGGACCGUAACGGGCGUGUGCUUUGUGCCUUCUCAUUCUUGUGGUUUGCCAUUUCCAAGUAUUAUCGCUCAGCUGCUUGAAAUAUACAAGUAAUAGCUACUCCAAGCAUUUGAGAGUUGUGUGAAGAAUGUUUUACUAUUGUUGGUAUAUUCUCGCAUUUGAAAUUUAUGAAUGUAUUAGGAUUUAUGUUCUACAGAAAACGUACUCUCUGGUUUGAUGUGUACAUGAUCCUCACUUAUAUAUGUGCACUAUAAGAAGGUAGAUCCACAUACCAAUUAAAAGACGUUUUUUUC